rnacentral:rRNA from 1 species
GGCUCAGGACGAACGCUGGCGGCGUGCUUAACACAUGCAAGUCGAACGAUGAACCUGGAGCUUGCUCUAGGGGAUUAGUGGCGAACGGGUGAGUAACACGUGAGUAACCUGCCCUUGACUCUGGGAUAACCUCCGGAAACGGAAGCUAAUACCGGAUAUGACGCACGGAGGCAUCUCCUGUGCGUGGAAAGAAUUUCGGUCAAGGAUGGACUCGCGGCCUAUCAGGUAGUUGGUGAGGUAACGGCCCACCAAGCCUACGACGGGUAGCCGGCCUGAGAGGGUGACCGGCCACACUGGGACUGAGACACGGCCCAGACUCCUACGGGAGGCAGCAGUGGGGAAUAUUGCACAAUGGGCGCAAGCCUGAUGCAGCAACGCCGCGUGAGGGACGACGGCCUUCGGGUUGUAAACCUCUUUUAGUAGGGAAGAAGCGAAA